rnacentral:rRNA from 1 species
UAGGGAAUCUUCCGCAAUGGACGCAAGCCUGACGGAGCAACGCCGCGUGAGUGAAGAAGGAUUUCGGUUCGUAAAACUCUGUUGUUAGAGAAGAACAGCGCAUAGAGUAACUGUUAUGCGUGUGACGGUAUCUAACCAGAAAGCCACGGCUAACUACGUGCCAGCAGCCGCGGUAAUACGUAGGUGGCGAGCGUUGUCCGGAUUUAUUGGGCGUAAAGCGAGCGCAGGCGGUCAAUUAAGUCUGAUGUGAAAGCCCCCGGCUCAACCGGGGAGGGUCAUUGGAAACUGGUUGACUUGAGUGCAGAAGAGGAGAGUGGAAUUCCAAGUGUAGCGGUGAAAUUCGUAGAUAUAUGGAGGAACACCAGUGGCGAAGGCGACUCUCUGGUCUGUAACUGACGCUGAGGCUCGAAAGCGUGGGUAGCAAACAGG